UGCGUUUAAAUUAACGGAAAAGGGCCAAAAUUACUCAUGAACUUUGAAAAAUAGUUCAUUCAUGCCCUUCGUUAUACUUUAGGACCAAUUAUACCCUUACCGUUAUACUUUGGGCCAAAUAUACCCUUGAGCAUAACGGCGUGCCACGUGUCAAAAUCUCAGUGGCCAACUUAUUUUCCCUCUUUUAUUUUUCAUCCGGAUGCCUACUCCUUCAGAUCCGACCCAAUUAAUUUAUUACUCAACCCGUAAAAUAACCCAAAUAAGCCAAACCUAACCCGUAUAACAUAUCUAUAGCCUGCCUCUCUCUCUCUCUCUAAAAAAAAACGCAGAUCAUCUUCAACCUCUUCAAAUGGAAGCUGCAAUUAUGAUUUAAUCGUCUUCAGAUGGGUGAAGUAGUUUCCACUAUUCCAAUGAAGCCUUACAAUGUCCGAAAUUAGUUGUAAUUCAACGAAGAAGUGUCACUGUGGUGAAAUUGCAGUUACUACCAGUCUCAUUAACAAGCUUAACUUGGCAAGGGAAUGAUGCAGUUACUACCAGCCAGUUGGAGGCUACAGCUCAAGAGAGGAUUGGGAAGUUGAAUCCAAGAAGCGGACCUAACAAUUGAUUUAGCUUUAUGAAAUGUUAUUGUUUUUUGUGAAUUAUGGUGAUGUAUUUACUGCUUAAGACAGUACUCUUAAUUUGCUAAUUAUGUAAUGGUCAAACUAAAUGGAUGUCACAUUAUGACUUGGGAUGUAUUAGUUUUUGGGGUUAUAGUGUGGCAUCCAUACAACUAUUGGCUUAUUUUGUGCUGUGGUUGACAGUUUCUAUAGCAUAUUUAUGGUGUUUGAAA